rnacentral:rRNA from 1 species
UACGGAGGGUGCAAGCGUUAUCCGGAUUCACUGGGUUUAAAGGGUGCGUAGGCGGAUUGGUAAGUCAGUGGUGAAAUCUCCGUGCUUAACAUGGAAACUGCCAUUGAUACUAUGUUUCUUGAAUCUUCCGGAGGUCAGCGGAAUAUGUCAUGUAGCGGUGAAAUGCUUAGAUAUGACAUAGAACACCAAUUGCGAAGGCAGCUGACUACAGGGGCAUUGGACACUGAGGCACGAAAGCGUGGGGAUCAAACAGG